AUACGUAGGUGGCAAGCGUUGUCCGGAUUUAGUUGGGCGUAAAGCGAGCGCAGGUCGGUUUUUUAAGUCUGAUGUGAAAGCCUUCGGCUCAACCGAAGAAGUGCAUCGGAAACGUGGGAAACUUGAGUGCAGAAGAGGACAGUGGAACUCCAUGUGUAGCGGUAGAAAUGCGUAGAUAUAUGGAAGAACACCAGUGGCGAAGGCGGCUGCCUGGUCUGUAACUGACGCUGAGGCUACGAAAGUAUGGGUAGC
rnacentral:rRNA from 1 species